rnacentral:rRNA from 1 species
GUGAAGUCAUUGAUGCCAUGCUUCCAGGAAAAGCCUCUAAGCUUCAGAUUGUAAGGAAUCGUACCCCAAACCGACACAGGUGGUCGGGUAGAGAAUACCAAGGCGCUUGAGAGAACUCGGGUGAAGGAACUAGGCAAAAUGGUACCGUAACUUCGGGAGAAGGUACGCUCUCGACGGUGAAGUCCCUUGCGGAUGGAGCU